rnacentral:rRNA from 1 species
CCUGGUUGAUCCUGCCAGUAGUCAUAUGCUUGUCUCAAAGAUUAAGCCAUGCAUGUCUAAGUAUAAAUAUUUAUAUUGUGAAACUGCGAAUGGCUCAUUAAAUCAGUUAUAGUUUAUUUGAUAAUAUCUACUACUUGGAUAACCGUGGUAAUUCUAGAGCUAAUACAUGCGAAAAAAGCCCGACUUCGGAAGGGCUGUAUUUAUUAGAUACAAAACCAAUGCGCUUCGGCGGUUUCUUGGUGAUUCAUAAUAACUUUUCGGAUCGCAUGGCCUUGCGCCGGCGACGUUUCAUUCAAAUUUCUGCCCUAUCAACUUUCGAUGGUAAGGUAUUGGCUUACCAUGGUUACAACAGGUAACGGAGAAUUAGGGUUCGAUUCCGGAGGGAGCCUGAGAAACGGCUACCACUUCCAAGGAAGGCAGCAGGCGCGCAAAUUACCCAAUCCUGACACAGGGGAGGUAGUGACAAAAAAAUAACAAUACAGGACUUUUUAAAAGCCUUGUAAUUGGAAUGAGUACAAUUUAAACCCCUUAACGAGGAACAAUUGGAGGGCAAGUCUGGUGCCAGCAGCCGCGGUAAUUCCAGCUCCAAUAGCGUAUAUUAAAGUUGUUGCAGUUAAAAAAGCUCGUAGUUGGAUUUUUUGGAUUGUGUGUAAUGGUCUGCCGUGAGGUAUGCACUGUUAGGCGCAUUCUUCUUCUCAAAGACUGUGUGUGCUCUUAAUUGAGUGUGGGCAGGGUUUGGGACUUUUAAUAGUUGGGGACAUUAAUAUUUAAUUGUCAGAGGUGAAAUUCUUGGAUUUAUGAAAGAUUAACUUCUGCGAAAGCAUUUGUCAAGGAUGUUUUCGUUAAUCAAGAACGAAAGUUAGGGAUCAGAAGACGAUCAGAUACCGUCGUAGUCUUAACCAUAAACUAUGCCGACUAGGGAGUUGGUGGCAGUUAAUUAUAUGACUCCAUCAGCACCUUAUGAGAAAUCAAAGUUUUGGGUUCCGGGGGAGUAUGGUCGCAAGGCUGAAACUUAAAGGAAUUGACGGAAGGGCACCACCAGGAGUGGAGCCUGCGGCUUAAUUUGACUCAACACAGGAAAACUCACCAGGU